GAUAGUUUAACGGAAACGCAGGUGAUAUGAGGGCAGGGUCCAGACAUGUUCAGUAGGUGGGAGUGAGAGGUGUUAUGGGUGGAGGACAAUUUUUAUUAUAUUUCAUCUAAUAGCAAUAGGAUAUGAGAGGUGAAAAAGCAAAAGCAAUAGUGCAUUGUGAUGUGGAGAAUAAGGUGCAUACGAUGAAAAAGGUGAUUUGUCAUUUACAAGAGGUAGGUCGAAACAGAACAUGAAAGUUGGUCGGUAGGUGGCAUGCAGAGGUAGUUUCAAGGUGACAGGUUAUGAAGAUAUGGUGCAAAAGACAAAUGGAUGGUGGCAGGCAUAGUAAAAUGAUGGUGUGGAAGACAUAGAUGGUAUUUGUUUUGCAUUUACGGCACCGGAUGCGGGCGAUAAUGACGGGAAGAGAUUUAGUAUGUGGGACAGAAUUUCGGCGGCAGUAUUGAGACCAUGAGAGUAGCAAACGUAAGUCUAAAGGUUGUUUUAUAGUAGUUAGGAUGUAGGAAAUGUAUUCCGAUAGGCCAUUUUACAUUUGGAGGGACGGUUGAAAGUGGACAGAGGAAAAGGUGCGGAAAUGGCUGAUUUUGAUUGUUUAUGUUUUGUGUGAUAAUUUUACAUUUUUGCAUAGUAUUAGGUAGCCAGAUGAAAGAUGAAUAGACAUAGGAGUAAGAAAACAUAGAAUAGUUACCAUUAUUGGUAGGAGUGUGGUGGGGUGGUAUAGUCCGCAUUGGGAUGUUACUUUCCUGUUAUGGCAUGGAUUUCCCUUUAGGGUCUCUGAAGCGUAUUUCCGUCACCGAAAAAGGCAGAAAAAGGGAAACUGAAGGGAGGAUAGUAGUAAAGUUUGAAUGGUGGUAGUGUAAUGUAUGAUAUCCGUUGGUUUUGGUUUCGGUUGUGAAAAGUUUUUUGGUAUGAUAUUUUGCAAGUAGCAUAUAUUUCUUGUGUGAGAAAGGUAUAUUUUGUAUGUUCCCGCGCGUUUCCGUAUUUUCCGCUUCCG
rnacentral:rRNA from 1 species